rnacentral:lncRNA from 1 species
CAGAUUUCUAUAUCCAACAAAACCUAGUUUCAAAUUUGAGGGGAAAAUAAAAACUUUCCAUGAAAAGAAUAAAUGAAUUCAUGAGAAUCAAGCCAGCAUUACAAAGAAUACUCAAAGAUAAACCACACAAGAGGAACUAAAAAAUAAUUCCCAGAACUCACAGAGGAAGUUCAAUAGAAGAAUAAUCUAUUAAGUAAGAAUCAAGACAGGGUAAAAUAUAGCAAAAUGUCAGAAAACCAUAAAUAGUUAUCCUUACUCACACUAAAUGUUAAUGAUCUCAACUCCCCAGUUAAAAAGUACAGAUUAGUCAAAUGGAUCAAAAACCAAGAAUCAAUUAUAUACUGUUUACAAAAGACUCAUCUUAUAGGCAAAGACAUCCACAGUCUGAAGGUAAAAGGAUGGCAAAAAUAUUCCAGAAAUAUGGUCCAAGAAAAUAAGCAGGAAUAGCUAUUCUCAUAUCUGACAAAGUAGAUUUUAAGCAAAUAUUAAUCAGAACGACAAAGAAGGUCACUACAUCUUGUUAAGGGAAUGAUCCACUAAGAAGAUAUAAUGAUAGUAAAUAUUUAUGCCCCAAAUGUCAAUGUGCCCAAUUACAUGGAAAAAGGACUCCAUGACAUUAAAUCCUGCAUAGACCUCAAUACAAUAAUACUGGGUAAUUUCAAUACACUCUUAUCACCAAUAGACAGCCCAUCAAAACAUAAAAUCAAUAAAGAUAUGUCUAAUCUAAAUAACACUAUAUAAAUCAUGUGCCGCAUUUUUUUAAUCCAUUCAUUCGUGGAAGGACAUCUAGGUUGGCUCCACAGUCUAGCUAUUGUGAAUUGUGCUGCUAUAAACAUUGAUGUGGCUGUGUCCCUGUAGUAUGCUGUUUUUAAGUCUUUGGGUAUAGUCCAAGAAGAGGAAUAGCUGGGUCAAAUGGUGGUUCCAUUCCCAGCUUUCCAAGGAAUCUCAUACUGCUUUCCAAAUUGGCUGCACCAAUUUGCAGUCCCACCAGCAAUGUAUGAGUGUACCUUUUUCCCUGCAUCCUCGCCAGCACUUGUUGUUUGUCUUCAUCAUGGCUGCCAUUCUGACUGGAGUGAGAUGGUAUCUUAGACUAGUUUUAAUUUGCAUUUCUCUGAUUGCUAGAAAUGAUGAGCAUUUUUUCAUAUAUUUGUUGAUUGAUUGUAUAUCUUCUGAGAAGUGUCUGAUCAGGUCCUUGGCCCAUUUGUUGAUUGGGUUAUUUGUUUUUUUGGUGUUUAGCUUUUUGAGUUCUUUGUGUACUCUAGAGAUUAGAGCUCUAUCUGAUGUGUGAGGGGUAAAAAUUUGUUCCCAGGAUGUAGGCUUCCUAUUCACCUCACAUAUUAUUUCUCUUGCUGAGAAAAAACUUUUUAGUUUGAAUUCAUCCCAUUUGUUGAUUCUUGGUUUUAAUUCUUGUGCUAUAGGUGUCUUAUUAAGGAAAUUGGGGCCUAGCCCCACAUGAUGGAGAUUAGGGCCUACUUUUUCUUCUAUUAGAUGCAGAGUCUCUGGUUUAAUUCCUAGAUCCUUGAUCCAUUCUGAGUUAACUUUUGUGCAUGGUGAGAGAUAGGGAUUCAAUUUCAUUUUGUUGCCUAUAUACACAAUGGAAUAUUACUUAGCAC